GACAGCUUUCUAUCUAUAAGUCUUGACUAAAUCUUGUGCCAGCAGUCGCGGCAACACAAGGAAGACUAGUGUUAUUCAUCUUAAAUCGGUUUAAAGGGUACCUAGACAGUAAAUCAAGCCUAAUACGGUACGUUUUGCUAGAGUUAUAAAUGGGAGAGGAUGUCAGAAUUGCCAGAGUAGAGAUGAAAUUCUUUGAUACUGUUAAGACUGGUAACGGCAAAAGCAAACCUUUAUCUAUUAACUGACGUUGAGGGACGAAGGCUUGGGGAGCAAACAGGAUUAGAUACCCUAAUAGUCCAGGCAGAGAAUCAUGAAUGUCAUAGAUUAUUUAUAUAAUACUCUAUAAAUGAAAGUGUAAGCAUUCCACCUCAAGAGUAAUGUGGCAACGCAGGAACUGAAAUCAUUAGACCGUUUCUGAUACCAGUAGUGAAGUAUGUUAUUUAAUCUGUUGAUCCACAUACAAUCUUACCACAAUUUGAAUAUUUAUGGUUAAAAACUAUUUAUACAAGCGUUGCAUUGUUGUCUUCAGAUAAUGUUGUGAGAUUUGGUAAUAAUCAUUAAAUUAACGUAAUCCCAUAUUUUAUUUAAAUAUUAAUAAAGUAGUUCACCGCUAUAUUGGAAUUUGAUAACAGGGAAUAAGA
rnacentral:rRNA from 1 species